ACCUGCUACAUUCCAGGUCAGGAGGGAGACCUUAUGCUGGUCUUUUGAGCUUCAGUCUGUGGUUAUAUUAGCAGGGAUCUGUGUAGAGGUUCCCAGUGGGGUGUCUUGAAGAGUGCAAUCCAGCACAGCAAAGCCCCAGCACGGAUCCCAGCAGCCUCGAAAUAAAUAUGGGAAAAUGUGAGAGAGAGGAAGAGGCGAUGAAGAGGAAGAGCAAAACUGACCUGGUGGUGAUGGAGGGACAUUUGGAAGACUCUGAACCGCACAUGGUCCCUGUGUGCCCUGGGGUGGAUGCAUUCAGCCAGUUUGAGCGAGUCCUGGAUGUUGUGGUGUUCAUGGGGGCUCUCUACUUCCUCUCUUACAGCUCCCUCUUCCUCUUCUACCUCUUUCUCCUCCUGCCCUUAGCCUUCAUCUUUGAGGAGGAGAGGGUGCGCCUUUGAGGCAGGAGGAGGAAGAUGUACCCUAGAGUCUGCAGCUCAAUAAAGAGUGGUUUGAGUGCA